rnacentral:rRNA from 1 species
UUCCGACACAGGUGAAUUAGAGUUAUGUUCUAAGGCUAAAUAGAAAUAACCAGGUUGAAGGAACUCGGCAAAAUGCUUACGUGCUUAUCGACAAGUAAGGACUAUAAAUGUUACAAUAUAAUUGAAGGCAACGACUGUUUAAUCAAAACACAAGACUCUGCUUAAUGUAAAACGUAUUAUUAUAAGACAGCCCGACGCAGUCGGCAAGCCUCCGACGCAGUCGGCAAGCCUGCGCCAAUUAAAUUGGCGCCCAAUUACAUUGGCGCUGGGCGCCAAUGAAUUUGGCGCUGGCGCGUCUUUUUGGGUUAUAAUAAUAUUCGUAUGUAAAGAGUCUGACAUCUGCCCAAGGACUAAGGUAAACGGCUGCUGUAACUAUAACGGUACUAAGGUAGCAAAAUCCAUUGACGUUUAAUUGAUGUCGCGCAUGAAUGAUGUAACGAUUGUCUUGCUGUCUCCAACCUGGAUUCUGUGAAAUUGAAUUGCCCGUGCAGAUGCGGGAUACGUGUUAGAGGGACGAUAAGACCCCGCAGCACCUUAAC